rnacentral:rRNA from 1 species
UGCUGUAGCCACUGUGCCCUGAUCGUGCCCAAUCUUGUUUGAUCCCACAAAACUAAGCAGGGUUGGUCCUGGUUAGUAUCUGGAAGGUGGGCCACCAGGGCAUGCACCAGGUGCUGUGGCUA